GCUAUAUACAGGGGUACAGGUUAGUAAUGAGGCUAUAUACAGGGGGUACAGGUUAGUAAUGAGACUAUAUGCAGGGGGUACCGGUUAGUAAUGAGACUAUAUGCAGGGGGUACCGGUUAGUAAUGAGGCUAUAUACAGGGGGUACAGGUUAGUAAUGAGACUAUAUACAGGGGGUACCGGUUAGUAAUGAGACUAUAUACAGGGGGUACAGGUUAGUAAUGAGACUAUAUACAGGGAGUACAGGUUAGUAAUGAGACUAUAUACAGGGAGUACAGGUUAGUAAUGAGACUAUAUACAGGGAGUACAGGUUAGUAAUGAGACUAUAUACAGGGGGUACAGGUUAGUAAUGAGACUAUAUACAGGGGGUACAGGUUAGUAAUGAGACUAUAUACAGGGGGUACAGGUUAGUAAUGAGACUAUAUACAGGGGGUACAGGUUAGUAAUGAGACUAUAUACAGGGGGUACAGGUUAGUAAUGAGACUAUAUACAGGGAGUACAGGUUAGUAAUGAGACUAUAUACAGGGAGUACAGGUUAGUAAUGAGACUAUAUACAGGGGGUACAGGUUAGUAAUGAGACUAUAUACAGGGGGUACCGGUUAGUAAUGAGACUAUAUACAGGGGGUACAGGUUAGUAAUGAGACUAUAUACAGGGGGUACAGGUUAGUAAUGAGACUAUAUACAGGGAGUACAGGUUAGUAAUGAGACUAUAUACAGGGAGUACAGGUUAGUAAUGAGACUAUAUACAGGGAGUACAGGUUAGUAAUGAGACUAUAUACAGGGAGUACAGGUUAGUAAUGAGACUAUAUACAGGGAGUACAGGUUAGUAAUGAGACUAUAUACAGGGAGUACAGGUUAGUAAUGAGACUAUAUACAGGGGGUACAGGUUAGUAAUGAGACUAUAUACAGGGAGUACAGGUUAGUAAUGAGACUAUAUACAGGGGGUACAGGUUAGUAAUGAGACUAUAUACAGGGGGUACAGGUUAGUAAUGAGACUAUAUACAGGGGGUACCGGUUAGUAAUGAGACUAUAUACAGGGGGUACAGGUUAGUAAUGAGACUAUAUACAGGGAGUACAGGUUAGUAAUGAGACUAUAUACAGGGAGUACAGGUUAGUAAUGAGACUAUAUACAGGGGGUACAGGUUAGUAAUGAGACUAUAUACAGGGGGUACAGGUUAGUAAUGAGACUAUAUACAGGGAGUACAGGUUAGUAAUGAGACUAUAUACAGGGGGUACAGGUUAGUGAUGAGACUAUAUACAGGCUACUAUUAUAAUUAUUUUGGUGGGUUUGUUUUAAUAAAUAAAUGUGUGACACAAUAGGAAGUGUAGAACACCAUUGUCCAUCUAAUAACUUUCAAAAGAUUGUUCCGAAGUUUGCCCCCAAUAAAUACAUUUUCCUACAAAUUAAGUCGCAUAAAAGUGUCUUCACACGAAUUAAGCCACACAAAACUCACGAAAUCUGCUGAAAUACUGUUUGUACAUAUGUGCACAAAUUGACUGUGAGAUUGUGUUGCAACAACCUGUCACAAGACAAAUUUAACCAUGAUCUGAUGAUAGGUCUACAUGCAUUGUGAACUGCACUCCAUACUGAAAUGCACUGUCUGUCCCCAUCCUGAGCGUUGAUUGAUCAUGCAGGUAGCAAAUCAAAUGUAUUUAUAUAGCCCUUCGUACAUCAGCUGAUAUCUCAAAGUGCUGUACAGAAACCCAGCCUAAAACCCCAAACAGCAAGCAAUGCAGGUGUAGAAGCACGGUGGCUAGGAAAACCAGAGAAGAGAAGCCAGAUUUAGACAUAUCAUUUAACAGUUCCAUAUUACAUCAUGCUGUUCAUAUAAAUAAUGUAUUAUAA